rnacentral:rRNA from 1 species
GACGAACCGAGCGAACGUUAUUCGGAAUUACUGGGCGUAAAGGGCGCGUAGGCGGCUUGACAAGUCACUUGUGAAAUCUCCGGGCUUAACUCGGAACGGCCAAGUGAAACUGUCAUGCUAGAGUGCAGAAGGGGCAAUCGGAAUUCUUGGUGUAGCGGUGAAAUGCGUAGAUAUCAAGAGGAACACCUGAGGUGAAGACGGGUUGCUGGGCUGACACUGACGCUGAGGCGCGAAAGCCAGGGGAGCAAACGGG